AUUGAACGCUGGCGGCAUGCUUUACACAUGCAAGUCGGACGAGUGGCGAACGGGUGAGUAACAUAUCGGAACGUACCGAGUAAUGGGGGAUAACUAAUCGAAAGUAUAGCUAAUACCGCAUAGUAUUCGAGCGGCCGAGCUCGGAUUAGCUAGUGGGUGGGGUAAAGGCCUACCAAGGACACGAUCAGUAGCGGGUCUGAGAGGAUGCUCCGCCACACUGGGACUGAGACACGGCCCAGACUCCUACGGGAGGCAGCAGUGGGGAAUAUUGGACAAUGGGCGAAAGCCUGAUCCAGCCAUGCCGCGUGUCUGAAGAAGGCCUUCGGGUUGUAAAGGACUUUUGGCAGGGAAGCGGUACCUGCAGAAUAAGCACCGGCUAACUACGUGCCAGCAGCCGCGGUAAUAC
rnacentral:rRNA from 1 species